GAGUUUGAUCGUGGCUCAGAUUGAACGCUGGCGGCAGGCCUAACACAUGCAAGUCGAGCGGUAGAGAGAAGCUUGCUUCUCGUGAGAGCGGCGGACGGGUGAGUAAUGCCUAGGAAUCUGCCUGGUAGUGGGGGAUAACGCUCGGAAACGGACGCUAAUACCGCAUACGUCCUACGGGAGAAAGCAGGGGACCUUCGGGCCUUGCGCUAUCAGAUGAGCCUAGGUCGGAUUAGCUAGUUGGUGAGGUAAUGGCUCACCAAGGCGACGAUCCGUAACUGGUCUGAGAGGAUGAUCAGUCACACUGGAACUGAGACACGGUCCAGACUCCUACGGGAGGCAGCAGUGGGGAAUAUUGGACAAUGGGCGAAAGCCUGAUCCAGCCAUGCCGCGUGUGUGAAGAAGGUCUUCGGAUUGUAAAGCACUUUAAGUUGGGAGAAGGGCAGUAAAUUAAUACUUUGCUGUUUUGACGUUACCGACAGAAUAAGCACCGGCUAACUCUGUGCCAGCCGCCG
rnacentral:rRNA from 1 species